rnacentral:lncRNA from 1 species
AACACUUAGCAAGUACUAAUGAGAAAAAUAUAGAGUGGAAAGAGGCCUGGCUUGGUGCUCCACGAUUGCUACCACACAUGAGGUCAGAAGACAUGGAUUUGAAUACCAGUUUGAAUGCUGAUUAACAUUAUGACUUGCACAGGUUAUGUAGCUCUUUGGAACCUCAAAGUUUUCAUCAACAAAAUGGGGGUAUUAAUAAAUAAAUACCUUACAGGAUUGGUUUGAGAGAUCUAAAGGCCCUUAUUACACCACCAACAGUGUGUUGUAAUAGUAUGUUAGUUCCCUCUUUAGGCAGUCUCCUUCCACUUGCUGCCAUGUCUCUAAGCAGUAACCAGUGAUGCAACCGCAGGAAAACCACUUUUCUUUAGACCUUCAAGUUUCCUGACCCCACGCUCAAAGUGGUCCUCUUGUUUAUCUCUGUUCAGCCUGUUCUUCCCUUCCCCUGAUUUCACCACUAACCCUUUUCUCUGAGUCCAUUGAGAAAUUAUCUCAACUUCCUUACCUCUUGCCUCCACUUGUAUACUUACAUAUACCCUUUUCAGUCAUUUCUUGUGGUCUUGAGUACCAUCUUCCUUUGCACAGCAAUCAUUGCCAGCUUUGGAGAAAAAAAGUAGCACAUAUUCUCUCAACCUCUCCCCCAAUCCAUACCAUUAACCAAACCCAAUGGUUCUUGUUCCUAUACUUCCAAGCCUAUGAUGGUGAAGGACAUCAUUCAACGUACAUAUUUCAGUUUCUGUUCAUAUCCUACUUGACCUCUGACAUAUUGGCAUUAGGAAUCUUUGAUUGGCACCUAUAUUCUUAUUCUUCCAAUCUGGCCAUUCUUUUCUCAGUUAUUGUUACUGAAUUAACUUCCUCUAACCUUAAAUAUUGGGGUGUUCCAGGAUUCUGCUCACUCUCUUUCUUUCUUACCCUCUUUCUUCCUCUUGGAGUGAUCUCAUGUACCUUUGUGGGGUUUUACUUUCAUCUGUAUGCUGAUGUUCUCUUUGCUGUACUUCUUGUGUGAGUUCCAAAACUAUUCAGUUGUGUGUUAGACAUUUCCAUCUUCAGAUUCCACAGACAACAAGUUCAUGAUGAACUGAAUUAAUCAUCUCUCUUCUUCCCUCUGCUUGGGAUAACCCUUUCCCCAAAACCUGCACUUUUUCCUAAAUUCCCUAACUUGGUUGGUCAAACUGCUAUCCACCCCAUUCAUCAAAUAUGAAAUGUAUAGAUCCCUGAUGCCGUGCCCUCCUUUCUCCACAUCUAACCAGUGACAUCUUUGCUGAGAACCAAAUGAUGAGGGGACAGCCCUAUAAAAUUUAUGGCCAUAAUGAGACUGUCUUCACUUUCAUAGCA